rnacentral:rRNA from 1 species
UACGUAGGGGGCGAGCGUUGUCCGGAGUUACUGGGCGUAAAGGGCACGCAGGCGGUGCGGCGCGUUUCGCGUGACAGCGGAGGGCUUAACUCUCCGAGGAUGCGAAAGACGGCGGCACUUGAGGGCCAGAGAGGGACACGGAAUUCCGGGUGGAGUGGUGAAAUGCGUAGAGAUCCGGAGGAACACCGAAGGCGAAGGCAGUGUCCUGGCUGGUGACUGACGCUGAGGUGCGAAAGCUAGGGGAGCGAACGGG